rnacentral:rRNA from 1 species
GAUGAACGCUGGCGGCGUGCUUAACACAUGCAAGUCGAACGAAGCAUUUGCGACAGAUUUUUUCGGAAUGAAGUUGCUUAUGACUGAGUGGCGGACGGGUGAGUAACGCGUGGGUAACCUGCCUUGUACUGGGGGAUAGCAGCUGGAAACGGCUGGUAAUACCGCAUAAGCGCCCAAUGUUACAUGACAUGGUGUGAAAAACUCCGGUGGUAUAAGAUGGACCCGCGUCUGAUUAGCUAGUUGGUGAGAUAACAGCCCACCAAGGCGACGAUCAGUAGCCGACCUGAGAGGGUGACCGGCGACAUUGAGACUAGGACACAGCACAGACUCCUACGGGAGGGAGGAGUGGGUAAUAGUGCACAAUGGGGGAAACUCUGAUGGAGCGACGCCGCGUGAGUGAAGAAGUAAGGCGUUAUGUAAAGCUCUAUCAGCAGGGAAGAUAGUGACGGUACCUGACCAAGAAGCUACGGCUAAAUACGUG